AGUGAACGCUGGCGGUAUGCCUAACACAUGCAAGUCGAACGGCAGCAUAGUAACAGCUUGCUCUUACGUGUGGCGAGUGGCGGACGGGUGAGGUAUAUCUGGAAAUCCACUUUUUCGUGGGUGAUAAUGUCGGGAAAUGUACGCUAACCCCACAUACGACCUACGGGUGAAAGCCGGCGAUCUUCGGACUUUGCGCGAUUGAAUGAGCCGAUGUCGGAUUAGCUAGUUGGCGGGGUAAAGGCCCACCAAGGCGACGCUCCGUAGAUGGUCUGAGAGGAUGACAAGCCACACUGGGACUGAGACACGGUCCAGACUCCUUCGGGAGGAAGCAGUGGGGAAUAUUGGACAAGGGGCGGAAGCCUGAUACAGCCAUACCGCGUGGGUGAAGAAGGCCUUCGGGUUGGAAAGCGAUUUUGGUGGGAAAGAAAAGAAGCACUUUAAUACCGGGCGGUUAUGACGGUACCCGAAGAAUAAGCACCGGCUAACUUCGUG
rnacentral:rRNA from 1 species